UCUACUCUCUGGUUUUCAACCAGAGAGAACCCUAAAUCUCCCAAAAACCUUGGAAAAUUUAGCCAAUAAAAAGGUUGAAAUUCGAGGUUUUCAUCUCUUUGAUGCUGAAAUGCAAACCCUAAUCCUCUGCGAGGUCUCCAUUAGGGCACCAUUUCAGCUUCCCAGCCCCAGAGAACCAUCAGUGUCCCCUUUCCUCACUUAUUCGAUUCCACUGAGAAAUUGGAGCCAUUCUCAUCGGAUUUCACCAAGGAGAUCGAAUAGAAAUCUGGAAGCUUCUUCCAGCAAUACAAUUCUAGAUUUGAGUGAAAUUGAUUGUGUUUUCAAUAAUGUUGAUGACUUCCAUGAAGAUACUGGUCUUAUGGUUGGGAGCCACUCUUCUAGUUGUCAAGAAAAUAGUGGAUUUUCACUGUCAGAUAUAUAUAAUGGGAUUAAAUUUGCAGCUUUGUGUGGAUAGCUUGCUUUCCAUGGAUCUCCAUAUGCAGUUGCAGAGAUGGAAUUCAUUGGUGGAAUACAGGCUAUGAGUUAUUUGGGGGAUCUUGGUGAUCUCAGUACAGAGACAUGAGCUGUUUCCUAGAUGGUACUUCAAAUAUAGCAAGAGAAAUUGUUUGUGUACUCAGUCAUUAGAUGUACUAAAGAAGUGUUCCCUUUGUACCACAGUCUUGCAUAUUGCAAUGCCCUUUUAGCAGCUUGGAAUUCUGGAUCUGUUGUUUUUAUUGGCGCUUUUGGUGCACUUGCGUAAGUUCAAUCACUCGGCAUGGCAAUCAUAGCUUGCUGCACUUCUCAUUUCUGUCAUGUGGCUCCAUUUCUUCAAACUAACCACAUCCAGAAAGAUUCGGCAUUCUACUUGUUACUUCUAAAUAUAUAUUUUUGUAGGUAGAACUAAUUCAAUUGGAGAUAUUGGAAACUUGUGAUGAUUCAAUGGAAGCACCUUCAACAGAACAUAACAUUUUGAUAUGAAGUCAACUGACUAUGCACAAAUGAUUUUUACACCUUUCUUGAUAGGAUCCAAAUUUGAAUUCAAUUGGACUGUACCCUAACAAGUAUCACAGGUUCAUGGCAAUUAACUAUUGAAAUGGGUAAAUACACAGGUUAAAGACCAUCCCUUGUCCUGUCACAACCAUAUUACUAUUUUUAUUUUACUCUAUAUUGUCGAUGAACUUUUGUAGAUUUAUUGUUUUUAAUCCUUGGAGAAGCAACAUAUUGUAGUUAUUAUCAUAUGCAUCAAUUAAUGAGAACAAUUUCAACAAGUGCAUGUGGCAUUAUAUAUAAAAAAACUCAUAUAGUUUUCAUUUUUGGAAAGAGUGAAUGUUUCAAUUAAAUGUUCCUGAUCUGAACUGAUUCUUUUCUUUUUUUUGUCGGUUGGCAUGGUAAGGUAAAUUGGUUUUCUUGAUACUUGAGAACUCUUCAUGUCAUAACUGGGCAAUGAUGGUUGUAUCUGUAAUUAUUGGGAGCACAUUCCACUGAUGGCUUCCUUCCAUUCAGACUUGGUGAGACAGAUUUGUCAAUUGUUGAUAUUGCAGCAGCCUGCCUCUUGGUAACUUUAAUCUGUAUAAAAAAACCUACUGAUAUUUUAUAAGAGUUUGGUUGUUUCUUUA